AUAAUUAUCCUCUUGCAAAGUGUAUGCAGCUUGGGUUGUAGCUAGAUCUGGUUGUUGGUCCAUGUUUAAGGGUGGUUUUGUUGCUAAUGUUUCUGGCCCUAGUGAAUUACAUUUUGAGUGCAAUAAUACCCAAACUGAGAUAUGGGCAGAUAGCAUAUCAGUAAAAGCAUUCACUCCAGAGGAAUGGGUAUCACAU